rnacentral:rRNA from 1 species
GCCGGUAACUAAAACCGGAAGGAAGGUGGGGAGUGACGUCAAAUACAUCAUGCCCCUUACUGACCUGGGCUACACACGUGCUACAAUGGUUGGUACAACGAGUUGCGAGUCGGUGACGGCGAGCUAAUCUCUUAAAGCCAAUCUCAGUUCGGAUUGUAGGCUGCAACUCGCCUACAUGAAGUCGGAAUCGCUAGUAAUCGCGGAUCAGCACGCCGCGGUGAAUACGUUCCCGGGCCUU